AAAUGAAUUGACGGGGACCCGCACAAGCAGCGGAGCAUGACGUUUAAUUCGAAACAACGCGAAGAACCUUACCAAGGCUUGACAUCCUUUGAACACCAUAGAAAUAUGUUGGUAUAGCAAUAUACAAAGAGACAGGUGGUGCAUGGUUGUCGUCAGCUCGUGUCGUGAGAUGUUCGGUUAAGUCCGGUAACGAGCGCAACCCCUAUUACCAGUUGCCAAUAUUUAGUUAGGAACUCUGGUUGAGACUGCCGUGGGUAACACGGAGGAAGGUGGGGAUGACGUCAAAUCAUCAUGCCCCUUACGCCUUGGGCUACAAUCGUGCUACAAUGGCCAUUACAAAGAGAUGCAAUACCGCAAGGUGGAGCAAAUCUCAUAAAGAUGGUCUCAGUUCGGAUUGUGGGCUGCAACCCGCCCACAUGAAGCUGAAGUUGCUAGUAAUCCCGAAUCAGAAUGUCGGGGUGAAUGCGUUCCCGGGUCUUGUACACACCGCCCGU
rnacentral:rRNA from 1 species